rnacentral:rRNA from 1 species
GACGAACGCUGGCGGCGUGCUUAACACAUGCAAGUCGAACGGAAAGGCCCUGCUUUUGUGGGGUGCCCGAGUGGCGAACGGGUGAGUAACACGUGAGUAACCUGCCCUUGACUUUGGGAUAACUUCAGGAAACUGGGGCUAAUGCCGGAUAGGAGCUCCUGCUGCAUGGUGGGGGUUGGAAAGUUUCGGCGGUUGGGGAUGGACUCGCGGCUUAUCAGCUUGUUGGUGGGGUAGUGGCUUACCAAGGCUUUGACGGGUAGCCGGCCUGAGAGGGUGACCGGCCACAUUGGGACUGAGAUACGGCCCAGACUCCUACGGGAGGCAGCAGUGGGGAAUAUUGCACAAUGGGCGGAAGCCUGAUGCAGCAACGCCGCGUGCGGGAUGACGGCCUUCGGGUUGUAAACCGCUUUCGCCUGUGACGAAGCGUGAGUGACGGUAAUGGGUAAAGAAGCACCGGCUAACUACGUG